rnacentral:rRNA from 1 species
GACAGAGGUCCCGAGCGUUAGGCGGAAUCACUGGGCUUAAAGCGUGUGUAGGCGGAUCGUUAAGUGCCUUGUGAAAUCCCACGGCUCAACCGUGGAACUGCUCGACAUACUGGCGAUCUUGAGCAACCUAGGGGCGAGCGGAACAAAUGGUGGAGCGGUGAAAUGCGUAGAUAUCAUUUGGAACGCCAAUGGUGAAAACAGCUCGCUGGGGGUUUGCUGACGCUGAGACACGAAAGCCAGGGGAGCGAACGGG